rnacentral:rRNA from 1 species
ACUCCUACGGGAGGCAGCAGUGGGGAAUAUUGCGCAAUGGGCGGAAGCCUGACGCAGCGACGCCGCGUGGGGGAUGAAGGCCUUCGGGUUGUAAACCCCUUUCACCAGGAGCGAAUCCAGACGGUACCUGGGGAAGAAGCGCCGGCUAACUACGUGCCAGCAGCCGCGGUAAUACGUAGGGCGCAAGCGUUGUCCGGAAUUAUUGGGCGUAAAGAGCUCGUAGGCGGCCUGUCGCGUCCGCUGUGAAAUCCUGGGGCUUAACCCCGGGCGUGCAGUGGAUACGGGCUGGCUAGAGGCAGGCAGGGGAGAACGGAAUUCCCGGUGUAGCGGUGAAAUGCGCAGAUAUCGGGAGGAACACCGGUGGCGAAGGCGGUUCUCUGGGCCUGUUCUGACGCUGAGGAGCGAAAGCGUGGGGAGCAAACAGGAUUAGAUACCCUGGUAGUCCACGCCGUAAACGUUGGGCGCUAGGUGUGGGACCCUUCCACGGGUUCUGUGCCGCAGCUAACGCAUUAAGCGCCCCGCCUGGGGAGUACGGCCGCAAGGCUAAAACUCAAAGGAAUGACGGAAGGCG